rnacentral:rRNA from 1 species
GACGAACGCUGGCGGCAUGCCUAACACAUGCAAGUCGAACGGAGAUUACUUGGGUUUUCUUCGUGGCGGACGGGUGAGUACCGGUUUGACAACCUGCCAUCUAGAUCGUGACAACAUGCCGAAAGGUGUGCUCAUAGCGAAUGUGACAGCAAUCUCGCAUGAUGCUGCUGUGUAAGUUGGCAUCUAUUUAUAUGCUGUCGCUAGUGGAUGGGUCUGCGUCUGAUUAGCUAGUUGGUGGGGUCACGGCCUACCAAGGCGAUGAUGCGUAGCCGGACUGAGAGGAGGGACGGCCACAAUGGGACUGGGACACGGCCCAGACGCCUACGGGAGGCAGCAAUGGGGAAUCUUCCGGAAUGGGCGAAAGCCAUACGGAGCAAUGCCGCGUGAGUGAUGAAGGAAUUCGUGCCGGAAAGCUCGUUUGUUUAUGACGAAUGUGCAGAUUGUAAAUAAUAAGCUGUAAUGACGGUAGUAAACGAAUAAGCCACGGCUAACUACGUG